rnacentral:rRNA from 1 species
UUGACCUCAAAUCAGGUAGGACUACCCGCUGAACUUAAGCAUAUCAAUAAGCGGAGGAAAAGAAACUAACAAGGAUUCCCCUAGUAACUGCGAGUGAAGCGGGAAAAGCUCAAAUUUAAAAUCUGGCAGAUGCUGUCUGUCCGAGUUGUAACCUAGAGAAGUGUAGCCUGUGCUGGA